AACGAACGCUGGCGGCAUGCCUAACACAUGCAAGUCGAACGGGAUCCUGGUUUCGGCCAGGUGAGAGUGGCGGACGGGUGAGUAACACGUGGGAACCUGCCUUUUGGUUCGGGAUAACCGCGGGAAACUGCGGCUAAUACCGGAUGCUCCCGAGAGGGGAAAGAUUUAUCGCCAGAAGAGGGGCCCGCGUCCGAUUAGGUAGUUGGUGGGGUAAUGGCCUACCAAGCCGACGAUCGGUAGCUGGUCUGAGAGGGUGAUCAGCCACACUGGGACUGAGAUACGGCCCAGACUCCUACGGGAGGCAGCAGUGGGGAAUAUUGGACAAUGGGGGCAACCCUGAUCCAGCAAUGCCGCGUGAGUGAUGAAGGCCUUAGGGUUGUAAAGCUCUUUUGCCAGGGAAGAUGAUGACUGUACCUGGAGAAUAAGCCCCGGCUAACUUCGUGCCAGCAGCCGCAGUAACAC
rnacentral:rRNA from 1 species